GGGCUUUCUGUGUCACCCAAAAACUCCUGGUCUUUUUCCGUUGGUGACAUCAUUGUUUGUGCUGUUAUUAGAGCAGAUGGUGGCCUGGGACUUGGCACUCAGAGAAAUCCAGGGAUGAGGUCUAAGAGGAAUGACCUGCUCUUCUCUUAACAUUCUCAAGUGGGUCAGAGUUAGGGUGGCUAGAGGUUUUUGUUUGCCUGGGACAGCGCCUGCAUACCCCUGUUGUCCCUGAGUAAUUAUUAACAGCACCUCCCUUUUUGCUCCUAAAAUUAUCCUAGUUUGAAUGAUAAAUUAUAGAAAUACCUCAAUCAUCCGUUCUAUGGGAAUACUGGGCAAAAAUGAAAAAAAAUUAAAGAAUUACCUGAAUCAGAAUGUUUUUUAUUAAGUUGACUUUUUUAAACUAAACUUUAUAGUAAAUAAUUCAGAAUGAUGUUUAUAUGAAUAAGGAUAAGUCACAAAAAGGAAAAUAAGAAAGUUCCCCAAUUGAUAGGCUCUCAGAUGUUUAGAUUUCAUCAAUUAUAAGAGGCACUACCAAGUCACACACCACUAAGAAAGAAACAGACCCACCGUAUUAGUUUGUUAAGACUCUCAUAACAAAGUACCACAGACUGGUACAGAAAUUUAAAUUAGCGGGGCGUGGUGGUGGGCACCUGUAAUCCCAGCUACUCAGGAGGCUGAGGCAGGAGAAUCACUUGAACCCUGGAGGUGGAGGUUGCCGUGAGCCGAGAUCACGUCAUUACACUCCAGCCUGGGUGACAGAGGGAGACUCUGUCUAAAAAGAAAAAAAAAAAUUAUGUGUUCACAGUCCUGGAG
rnacentral:lncRNA from 1 species